GGUUGACCUCGGAUCAGGUAGGAAUACCCGCUGAACUUAAGCAUAUCAAUAAGCGGAGGAAAAGA
rnacentral:rRNA from 1 species